rnacentral:pre_miRNA from 1 species
AAUGUAUGACGCCGUUGACUUUUUAUCCAACGUUUGACCAUUCGUCUUAUUCAAAAACUUUAUGUAAUUAUCAUUUAUUUUAGUGUGACUUGAUUAAUCAUCAAAUGUUCUUUAAGUAUGAUAUAAAUAUUUUCAUAUUUAAUUUGCACAAAAAUUUUGAAUAAAACGAAUGGUCAAACGUUAGUUAAAAAGUCAACGGCGUCAUACAUU